rnacentral:rRNA from 1 species
CAGCAGCCACGGUAAAACAGAGGGUGCGAGCGUUAAUCGGAUUUACUGGGCGUAAAGCGUGCGUAGGCGGCUAAUUGAGUCGGAUGUGAAAUCCCCGAGCUUAACUUGGGAAUUGCAUUCGAUACUGGUUAGCUAGAGUGUGGGAGAGGAUGGUAGAAUUCCAGGUGUAGCGGUGAAAUGCGUAGAGAUCUGGAGGAAUACCGAUGGCGAAGGCAGCCAUCUGGCCUAACACUGACGCUGAGGUACGAAAGCAUGGGGAGCAAACAGGAUUAGAUACCCGCGUAGUCCCUGUCUCUUAUAC